rnacentral:lncRNA from 1 species
GGGCCAAUUCCUUUGUCUUUGAAGCCUCAGAUCCUAGAAGUUCUUGCAGACCGGAGGUGAAGAAGUUUUAUCCAUGAUCACAAACCCCCAUUGGCAUGAUGCAUUUUUUUGAAAUGGAGUCUCACUCUGUCACUCCAGACUGGAGUGCAGUGGCACAGUCUCAGCUCACUGCAAACUCUGCCUCCCAGAUUCAAGCGAUUCUCCUGCCUCAGCUUCCUGACUAGCUGGGAUUACAGGUGCAUGCCACCACACCUGACUAAUUUUUGUAUUUUUAGUAGAGAUGGGGUUUCACCAUGUAGACCACGCUGUUCUCGAGUUCCUGACCUCGCGAUUCACUCCCAAAGAGCUGGGACUCCAGGCAUGAGUCACCGCACCUGGCCGGCACAAUCUUUCACAGCUUGGCUCCGGAUCCUACUCCGACCUGUCCUUCCCCACACCUGCUCUGCCCCACACUGACUUCUGGGGUCUGGAGAAAGGACAACGUCACCAGUGUGAACUCCGGGCCUGGUUUCCUGGGGAGAAUGGCGUCAGCCCGACCUGCUGCCGAACCUCACCACCUGAGGACCUGGUCUCCAAGGCCCUGGUCUCUGUCUCACACUCCUAGCCCUUGGCUCAGUCGGCCUGGCAGUGACCACAGCCCCGGGCUCUCUUCUCUCCACCUUCCCAGGGCCUGGAUGGCCUUUGAGUAAACAGAUAGCCCAGCGAGGUAUGUGAUCAAUUAGCUUUGCUGAAAAUACAAUCAUUUUGUUAUUCCAAGCUGAUGAGAAGGCCUGCUCUCCCAGCCUCCACAUGCCAAUCAGCCCGUGUCACCGAUAUAAUUUUCCACAUAAACACAACCUUUGUGCAACAUCUACUCUUGUAAAUAGAUGUAAUUCCCAAACCAAAUAACGUGCUUGGAGGGGAAAUGGAUAUUAUGCAUGCAAAAAGAAAAGCCGGCAAUUUUUACACUUUCCAGGCAACAAAAGAUUACCCCUAAUUGCUAACGGGGGAGUGGGGAGCGGUGGGACAGGGAGGUGGCCUGCUGCUGGGAAGCCAGGGAGGCCAGCUUCCAGGAGGAUUUUUUUCUCUCUCUGCACAUGUGUGAGCACAGACCACCAGGAACUGCCUAACCCGGGACUUGUCCUAUUUAGGCAACUGGGGAGAACGUGGUUGUUGUUGAUACCUUAAAGGAAACGAAGAGUUACUUAAUUAUAAGGUUUGUUCUCUCUUGCCGGGAGAGACCCACUCCAAACCCUAAACGAUACACAUCCUGUUGCAGAAUGUUCCCUACAUUCCUGCCUCGAUGGGUUGUGGAGAGUGUGAGUUCCUCUGAAAUGCAUUGCUGUGUCUUUCUCAAUGUUCUGCUCAUUUACGUGAAUCCCUAAAUUAGACCUUGAAAGCAGCGGAAGUUCU